rnacentral:rRNA from 1 species
AGAGUUUGAUCAUGGCUCAGAAUGAACGCUGGCGGCGUGCUUAACACAUGCAAGUCGUGCGCGAAGGCAGCUUCGGCUGCCGGAGAGCGGCGAACGGGUGAGUAACACGUGGGUAAUCUGCCUGGGGGUGGGGGAUAACCUGGGGAAACUCGGGCUAAUACCGCAUACGUUGGCGAGGUCACGGCCUUGCCAGGAAAGCUGGCCUCUGCUUGCAAGCUAGCGCUCCCAGAGGAGCCCGCGGCUGAUUAGCUAGUUGGUGGGGUAAAAGCCCACCAAGGCGACGAUCAGUAGCCGGCCUGAGAGGGUGAUCGGCCACACUGGGACUGAGACACGGCCCAGACUCCUACGGGAGGCAGCAGUGGGGAAUAUUGGACAAUGGGCGCAAGCCUGAUCCAGCAACGCCGCGUGGAGGACGAAGGUCUUCGGAUCGUAAACUCCUGUCAGGCGGGACGAAGGUCUGGGGGUGAAUAAUCUCCAGGCUUGACGGUACCGUCAGAGGAAGCCCCGGCUAACUCCGUGCCAGCAGCCGCGGUAAUACGGAGGGGGCGAGCGUUAUUCGGAAUUAUUGGGCGUAAAGGGCGCGUAGGCGGCACGACGUGUCCAAGGUGAAAUCCCUCGGCUCAACUGAGGAACUGCCUUGGAAACUGUCGAGCUUGAGGCCGGGAGGGGAGCGGAAUUCCCCAGUGUAGCGGUGAAAUGCGUAGAUAUUGGGAGGAACACCAGUGGCGAAGGCGGCUACCUGGACCGGUUCUGACGCUGAUGCGCGAAAGCGUGGGUAGCAAACAGGAUUAGAUACCCUAGUAGUCC